rnacentral:rRNA from 1 species
CAAUAGCGUAUAUUAAAGUUGUUGCAGUUAAAAAGCUCGUAGUUGGAUUUCUGCUGAGGACGAUCGGUCCGCCCACUGGGUGAGUAUCUGGCUCGGCCUUGGCAUCUUCUUGGAGAACGUUGCUGCACUUGACUGUGUGGCGCGGUAUCCAGGACUUUUACUUUGAGGAAAUUAGAGUGUUUCAAGCAGGCGCACGCCUUGAAUACAUUAGCAUGGAAUAAUGAGAUAGGACCUUGGUUCUAUUUUGUUGGUUUCUAGAGCUGAGGUAAUGAUUAAUAGGGAUAGUUGGGGGCAUUCGUAUUUAACUGUCAGAGGUGAAAUUCUUGGAUUUGUUAAAGAUGGACUACUGCGAAAGCAUUUGCCAAGGACGUUUUCAUUGA